GAGUUUGAUCAUGGCUCAGGAUUAACGCUGGCGGCGUGCCUAACACAUGCAAGUCGAGCGAGAAGCUCAAAGUGAAGAUUUCGGUUGGAACUAAGAGUGGAAAGCGGCAGACGGGUGAGUAACGCGUGAAUAAUCAACCCUGCACAAAGGGAUAGCCUCGGGAAACCGGGAUUAAUACCAUAUGAAGUACAUUAAUCGAAUGAUAGAUGUAUUAAAGCUUUGGCGGUGCAGGACGAGUUCGCGUCCCAUUAGCUAGUUGGUAAGAUAAAAGCUUACCAAGGCAACGAUGGGUAGCCGGCCUGAGAGGGUGAACGGCCACACUGGAACUGAGACACGGUCCAGACUCCUACGGGAGGCAGCAGUGGGGAAUAUUGCACAAUGGAGGAAACUCUGAUGCAGCGACGCCGCGUGAGCGAAGAAGGCUUUCGAGUCGUAAAGCUCUGUCCUAAGAGAAGAAGAAGUGACGGUAACUUAGGAGGAAGCCCCGGCUAACUACGUGCCAGCAGCCGCGGUAA
rnacentral:rRNA from 1 species